UACGUGAGGGUGCGAGCGUUAAUCGGAAUACUGGGCGUAAAGCGUGCGCAGGCGGUAAGUUAAGUCUGAUGUGAAGACCCCGGGCUCAACCUGGGGAAUGGCAUUGGGAAACUGGUUUGCUGGAGUGUGGCAGAGGGGGGUGGAAUUCCGCGUGUAGCAGUGAAAUGCGUAGAGAUGCGGAGGAACACCGAUGGCGAAGGCAGCCCCCUGGGCCAACACUGACCGCUCGAGGCACCGAAAGCGUGGGGAGCAAACAGGG
rnacentral:rRNA from 1 species